UCUCUGACUGACAGAAGAUACUAUGAUCAUGAGGUGGUUUUCCCAGGGUUAGCCUCAUCCUUUGCAGUCCAGGUGUGCUGACCUCUGAGAUUUCCCCAAUUGUAGGAAACUCAACUGCAUAACUUGUAGAAGCAGAAGACUGCAUUUGUGCUUUCCCCUG
ensembl:snRNA U1 U1 spliceosomal RNA